UGAGAUAUACACACCACUGCAACACACCAGAUCUCAUCUGACUUUGGAAGCUAAGCAGAAUCAGACCUGGUUAGUAUUCAGAUGGGAGACCACCAAGGGAAUAUUCGAGGUCACCCCAC
rnacentral:rRNA from 1 species